GAUGAACGCUAGCUACAGGCUUAACACAUGCAAGUCGAGGGGAAACGAUAUUGGAAGCUUGCUUCCGAUAGGCGUCGACCGGCGCACGGGUGAGUAACGCGUAUCCAACCUGCCCAUCACUUGGGGAUAACCUUGCGGAAGUAAGACUAAUACCCAAUGAUAUCUCUAGAAGACAUCUGAAAGGGAUUAAAGAUUUAUCGGUUAUGGAUGGGGAUGAGUCUGAUUAGCUUGUUGGCGGGGUAACGGCCCACCAAGGCGACGAUCGGUCUGGGUUCUGAGAGGAAGGUCACCCACAUUGGAACUGAGACACAGUCCAAAAUCCUACGGGAGGCAGCAGUGAGGAAUAUUGGUCAAUGGACGAGAGUCUGAACAAGCCAAGUAGCGUGCAGGAUGACGGCCAUAUGGGUUGUAAACUGCUUUUAUAAGGGAAUAAAGUGAGCCUCGGGAGGUUUUUUGCAUGUACCUUAUGAAUAAGGACCGGCUAAUUCCGUGCCAGCCGCCGCAGUAA
rnacentral:rRNA from 1 species